AAGCAUAUCAAUAAGCGGAGGAAAAGAAACCAACAGGGAUUGCCCUAGUAACGGCGAGUGAAGCGGCAACAGCUCAAAUUUGAAAUCUGGCCUCGGCCCGAGUUGUAAUUUGCAGAGGAUGUUUCUGGCGCGGUGCCUUCCGAGUUCCCUGGAACGGGACGCCAAAGAGGGUGAGAGCCCCGUAUGGUCGGACACCAAGCCUGUGUGAAACUCCUUCGACGAGUCGAGUAGUUUGGGAAUGCUGCUCUAAAUGGGAGGUAAAUCUCUUCUAAAGCUAAAUACCGGCCAGAGACCGAUAGCGCACAAGUAGAGUGAUCGAAAGAUGAAAAGCACCUUGAAAAGGGGGUUAAAUAGUACGUGAAAUUGUUGAAAGGGAAGCACUUAUGACCAGACUUGGGCCGGGCGGCUCAUCAGGGGUUCUCCCCUGUGCACUCCGCCCGGCACAGGCCAGCAUCGGUUCUCGUGGGGGGAUAAGACCGUCAGGAACGUAGCACCCUCCGGGGUGUGUUAUAGCCUGGCGGACGAUACCCUCGUGGGGACCGAGGUUCGCGCUCCGCAAGGAUGCUGGCGUAAUGGUCAUCAGUGACCC
rnacentral:rRNA from 1 species